GUUUUAAUAGAUUAACGUAAAUCGCUGAAUUGUGGUUUCAGAGAUGUGUCCAACACUUAAGACC
rnacentral:tRNA from 1 species